rnacentral:rRNA from 1 species
UGGGGAAUAUUGGACAAUGGGGGCAACCCUGAUCCAGCAAUGCCGCGUGUGUGAAGAAGGUCUUCGGAUUGUAAAGCACUUUCGACGGGGACGAUGAUGACGGUACCCGUAGAAGAAGCCCCGGCUAACUUCGUGCCAGCAGCCGCGGUAAUACGAAGGGGGCUAGCGUUGCUCGGAAUGACUGGGCGUAAAGGGCGUGUAGGCGGUUUACACAGUCAGAUGUGAAAUCCCCGGGCUUAACCUGGGAGCUGCAUUUGAUACGUGUAGACUAGAGUGUGAGAGAGGGUUGUGGAAUUCCCAGUGUAGAGGUGAAAUUCGUAGAUAUUGGGAAGAACACCGGUGGCGAAGGCGGCAACCUGGCUCAUGACUGACGCUGAGGCGCGAAAGCGUGGGGAGCAAACAGGAUUAGAUACCCUGGUAGUCCACGC